AAGGAGAGCUCCGCAGCAAGCUCUGAUGGUGUGAGAAUUAUAUGAUACCCAGAAAAUACUUGUGGAGCGAGAAGGACUGUGUCUUGUCACUCAGAAACCAUCAGGAGCAGUUAAUGCAAACAUGAACAGGCUGAUCAUCUUUUUGCUGUCGUUAGUUGGACAUGCUCUCAGCUUUCCAGUCACAACAGGU